rnacentral:rRNA from 1 species
GACGAACGCUGGCGGCGUGCCUAAUACAUGCAAGUUGAGCGCUGAAGGUUGGUACUUGUACCAACUGGAUGAGCAGCGAACGGGUGAGUAACGCGUGGGGAAUCUGCCUUUGAGCGGGGUACAACAUUUGGAAACGAAUGCUAAUACCGCAUAAAAACUUUAAACACAAGUUUUAAGUUUGAAAGAUGCAAUUGCAUCACUCAAAGAUGAUCCCGCGUUGUAUUAGCUAGUUGGUGAGGUAAAGGCUCACCAAGGCGAUGUUACAUAGCCGACCUGAGAGGGUGAGCGGCCGCAUUGGGACGGAGACACGGCCCAAACUCAUACGGGAGGGGGCAGUAGGGAAUCUUCGGGAAUGGGCGAAAGUCUGAGCGAGAAACGCCGCGGGAGUGAAGAAGGUUUUCGGAUCGUAAAACUCUGUUGGUAGAGAAGAACGUUGGUGAGAGUGGAAAGCACAUCAAGUGACGGUAACUACCCAGAAAGGGACGGCUAACUACGUG